UGCAGAGAAUGAAGUUCUGAUUAUUAAUGCAUAGCAAUUUCAAAGUCCAUCUUCACCAUUUCCCACACAAAAAAUUAUUGACCUUCAAUGUUUAAUAUUUAUUUUUUUGACCAAAGUUCAAUGUUUAACAAUAGAUAGAGGGCAUCACCGUCGCCAUCAACAAUAAUCAUAUGAUUCAAAAUAAGACUCUUAAGGACCAAAGUUCAAAGCUAAUACACCCAUUGAAUGGAAAAGCACGAAGAUGGAAUUUAAGCACUCAAUGCAGCGCCUGAGUUCUUCCUGCACUCGGACAGCAUGUCCAUGUAGAACUGGCACUUGCUGAUGUCGCUUCCAAAGUUGUUCACGCACUGCAAGAAAAACAAGUGCAAAUAAUGUCAUUGAAGAUUUCAAUAGUUAAGAUCAAACAAAAUAAUAAAUACAGAUCAAGUAAUUUAUACAAGACAAUUACUCUAACUCUGAGCAAGACAGAAGCAAAAUUCAAGAAUCAGUUUUAGAUUACUGAAUAUGCUUCUUUAGGAUCUAAUUCAAAUAAUUUGUGAAACAAUGAACAUAAAAUUCAUCCAAUUAUAACAGCAUUCGCAAGUAUGAAUAUUUAAAAAUAAAAUCAUGCAGAAAACAAGCAGAGAAGGUGAGGUUUCUAGAAUUGAACUGUCUUUUAGAGUUUGGGAUUAUUCUUUCACUUCUUACAAAUUUCACCUCGAAGCCAAAAGCUAGGUACUUAAAAAAAACACUUAUCCAUGUAUCUGGAAUCAAGUAACCAGAUGAGAAAAGUUUACAUCUUGGAAUGCCUUUGAGUGAAUACUGCAUGCAUCACCCCCCAUACUGCUUGCUGUGGGUGCUGGGGCAGUAGCAGCAGCCUCAGAGACCACAGUUUCAUGUUGAAUUGUGCGAGGACCCAACACAGCAUCUACAGCUCUGUGUGCCACAGCACUUCCAGUUCCAAAAGCCAUACCCUGAGCUAUGGUUGAACCAAUGCCUCCAAGCAAUGAUCCACCACCACCACUCUGGACAGGAGCUGGAGGAGGAGCAUGGUUAACUGGUUGGGGUGGUGGGCUGCGUGCUGGUGCAGGGCGAGCAGCAGCCCGAGGAGCAGGUCUUCCUGCAAUAGAAGUUGAGCCAUAAUUAUCAACAACUCUUUAAGAGAGAAUUCAUCAAAAGAACAUAACACAAAAGAAUUACAUAAGAGUAGAAAUUGAUUACACACAUUAAACCAUCAACACUCUAGUAUGAAACAACAAUUCAAAGCAAAUUCCUAAGACACCAUGCAUCUUCAAGGUUCAAGUACCAGUUACAACAUAGCCAACAAGUACUUAAUGAGAAGUUUUACAGUACUUGCAAAGCUUACAAGAAGGAAAAGGGCUGCUCGGAUGAUCUGGAAGAGUUGAACUGUUAAGCUACAUAGAAUCCAGUACAAUGUGAAUACUCAUCGAGGUAUAAGAUCCAUACCCAUAUCAUAUAUGAUGUGAGUAUUUAGGUAAAAAAUCCAGACCCAAAAACCUUAAUUUCGGAGAAUUCCCGAAUACCUAAGUGCCAAGGUCUGCUUCACUUGCAAGAGCAACUCAUUAAAGUUUGUAUCAACUCAAACUAUUCAAAACGCCCAUCAUAACAUAAUUAAGAAAAACAUAUUGAAAAUACUAAUCUUGUUAAACAUCAUGACUAAUGAGCCUGAGAAGCAUCCAAAUUCAAGCUAAUCCCAUAUGAAAUGCAUGUAUUAAAAGCAUAUAAAUUUUACCGAAAGCCUACAUGUGAUCCACCAAGCAUAGCCAAAAUAUGACCACAGAACAAAAACAAUACAUCUAACUAUCAACUUAGUUGGAUUAAACAAAGAUUUGAACAUUGCACUGCAAAUUUUCUUUAUACACUCAAAUCUAUAAAAGUAAAGCCAAAUAUUUAUGUACUAAACAGAUAUGCAAAAACCAGGAGAAUUUGUUAUACCAAGAAAUCCAAUACCAAAUCACCAAAUCAUAUUAAGCAAACACAAAUAUCAAAACCAAUAGCAUGCAUAAAUUUUCACAACCAUUUCGUUCAAGAAACAAAAAAAAAAAGAGCAGCAAAA
rnacentral:misc_RNA from 1 species